rnacentral:rRNA from 1 species
AUGAACGCUGGCGGCGUGCCUAACACAUGCAAGUCGCACGGAGUCCAGCCUUUAAGACCUUCGGGUCAAAGAGGGGAAGACUGAGUGGCGGACGGGUGAGUAACACGUGGGCAACCUGGCUCAUAGAGGGGGAUAACAGAGAGAAAUUUCUGCUAAUACCGCAUAAGCACACACUGCCGCAUGGCAGAGGGUGAAAAGAGAAUCGCUAUGAGAUGGACCCGCGUCUGAUUAGCCAGUUGGCAGGGUAAGAGCCUACCAAAGCGACGAUCAGUAGCCGAUCUGAGAGGAUGAACGGCCACAUUGGGACUGAGACACGGCCCAAACUCCUACGGGAGGCAGCAGUGGGGGAUAUUGCACAAUGGGGGGAACCCUGAUGCAGCGACGCCGCGUGAGUGAAGAAGUAUUUCGGUAUGUAAAGCUCUAUCAGCAGGGAAGAUAAUGACAGUACCUGAAUAAGAAGCCCCGGCUAACUACGU